CUAGGUGAACCUGCGGAAGGA
rnacentral:rRNA from 1 species